AUACUUACCUGACAGGGGAGACACCUUAAUCAUGAGGUUCACCCAGUUAUGCCCGGCCAUUGCACUCCGGCCAUGCUGACCCCUGCGAAUUCCCCAAAUGUGGUAGUGAGGAACUUACAAUUACCACAUAAUUUGUCGUAGUGAGGAACUACAGCUGCCUCUCCCUU